CAUGGUUACCCCUUCAUGACUUAUCUUUUCUUUCAUGGCAAUUCUUCUACCUAAUUCUACACAGCAUAAAGAAGUCAUAUUUUCAUGCUUUUGCAAGUCUAAACUUCAAAUUCUCAGUUGACUCUCCUUUCCACACUUGUUCCCCCUGCAUUGGGGCUGACUUCCCUCUGGAGAGCUGGGUCAAUUCUUUUGUCUUCUUUGACUCUGAUUUGUUCUCUCAGCCUUGCCCCUGCUGUGCGACCUCCAUGGUCUAAGUAGGUCCCAUGUAACUGGGAGUGUUUUGCAUUGAUUUUGUACAGUUUCAGCUAUGAAAUGCCAAUCUCUAUUUGAUGACAUUCCAAAUGGGAUCCCUAACCUGAGUAUUAUUUUUUUUAUUAUUACUUGAGGUACUUCUCUAGCUUUGUUGGUAUGAAAUGGAAAAGCCUCUUGCCACACAGAAAAUGGGUCUACUACACCUAAUAUGUACUUACAUCCUUUGUGCUGAGGAGAAAGAGAAGAUACUUCCACUGUCUCCACAUGCUCUGAUACAAGCAACCAAGCAGACUACUUGAGGCAGUGAUCCUGUCCCCUCAGCUGCAAUGGAAUCUUCAGCUCUUCCCACAGGGAUUGCUCAAGCUCUGGUUGUGCUGAGCUCCUUGUGAGUGGAGUCAUCAGUCUCUUGGACGAGCAGAUUCUCUGUCACAGUGUCCAUAAUUUUUCCUGGCAUCCACCAAGGUAAGAGGGAAGUUAUCUGCAGCUUUGACAUGGAAAUUGUCCAGCUGGGUGUCCUUCGCUGUGAGUCUAAAACACAGCAGCUCUCUGGCCACAUGGUGCUGCUGGCAGAGCUGGCUGCUGUCACUCAAGGCUCACAGAGGCACCUGAGCUGCCUUGCUGCACUGCAAAAACCAUCUCAGUGCUCAGUGGCACCUCCCGACCCCUCGUCUCAGUGAGAGUCCUGCUGGCAGGGUCAGAGCAGCGGCUCAUCGGGAUCAGUGCUGCCCGCGCUCUCCACUCGCCCUGGCCCCGGCAGUCCUGGCCCCGCAGCCAUGCACACACAGGGAAUGGGAACUGCUGCCUGAUGUUUCUUGAGCUGCACCGCUGCUGCUGCUGCUGAAGACACCUUGAUGAAUGAACUAGUGGGAUUAUGGGCCAUAUUGGCCUGUGAGAGCAAGGUCAUGAAGGCAGAGGUGCAGAUGGUCCUGUCAGUCCUAUUUCUGCAUAUUUCUGGAAACCAAGGAAUCUUUCUUGAUCCUGUGAGGCACUGAGUUUGCAAAGUAAUGGUUUCUUUGUUGUUGUUGUUGUU